CCAAUAGCUUUGAACAAGUUGGAACCAAGGUUAUAGCCACUACAUGAGCUUAUCAACUACAACAUCCAAGUUAGAACAAAUCUGAGCAUUUUUAUUCUAUUUUAUUUUGCAAUAGGCUGUGCAAAUACUUCACAGUGGGUUAUUGAAUGGCCUCUGCUUUCUACUGGAGCACCUAUGUGAUGAGAUUCCAACUACUUGAAAUAGUUCCACUAGAGAACUCCUUGCAAAUUCAGAAAAGUUCUAGAUUUUCUAAAGUGAGUUUGAAAGGAACAAGCAGACAUAUAGCAGAGACAUGCAUCAAUGAAGAUUCUUCAAGCCAUUUUAAAUUAUUAAGGACAGUUAUGAUAAGAACUUUAUGAAGCACAUUGUGUUUAUUGUAUAAUGGUGUAUGUGUUUGUAUGCAACAAGCAGUCAGAAAUAGCAGCUUCCAUGUUACUGUGACAAUAUAUCUCCUCCAGGGUUUAGUUCUUAUUUUGGGGAUUAUGUUCAGAAACAUAGCAAUCAAUUAGCCAUUUGACAGAGUGAUUGUUUUUUUUAAAAAAACUACUCAACAACAAUGACAAUCAUAGCUAUAUUGAUCCUUAUUUAUAUGAAGAGGUUUCUAAAUUAUUUACCUGAUUGAUGAAUUGUAGUGAUGAAUAAAUUCUACAAUUAUGAUAGCAUCUCUCUGCUUGCAUUCUCAAAUCAGAAAAAGUGAAGUUUAAUAGUAAAAUGGGGGAGGGGAUUUUAUAUUUUCAGUAUGACUUUUAUGCGUAAGGAUGAUGCUACUUAGAAGACUGACAAUUACUGUGUAAUUUGAGGUACAUUCAGUUUAAACGCACUUACCACUUUGGUGACAUUCUAAAACCUCUUAAAUCUAUUGAAAAAUAUGAGACAAAAUUACUAAUCAUUUCUGAAAUGUCUUAUGUGCCCUUUCCAAGUUAAAGCACAAUGGUGGGAGCUGAAUUCAGUUGAUUCAUCCCCCACCCAAUCCAUUUUCCUGUUCUGCUGUAAUAUUUAAAGGCCUUGUAUUGGAACAAAGGAAUUCUUCUGUAAUCUAAAGCACACACUGAAAUUCUUAUAUAUAGCAAUGUAAACACUGUAACAAUUGUCCUGUUCCCCCAAUAGCCUAUUUCAUGGCAAUGACAACUUUCUAUGCAUGAGUCACAGUGAGGUUCAUAGUACCAACUGCUAGAUGAAAUGGCAUUAUCCAGUCAAUCCACUUGGUGUUAACCUGAAUUUUAAAAGAGCUAUCCAUGGUGUUGAACUCUUCCCCCACAUAUCUUAAACGUCUUGGAUAGUUUUUUUAAAAGUACAGACUAAAAAUCAGAACAGCUUAAUCAUCCCUGGUGCCACUGGAGGUGCAUUUACAUUGUAGAGUUAAUCCAGUUUGACACAAUUUUAACUGACAUGGCUCAAUCAUAUGGAGCCAUGAGGCUACUAGCUUUAGAAGGUCUUUAGCUUUUCCUGUCCAAAAGAACUAGUGCAUCACAAAACUGCAAAUCUAAGAAUUCCAUAGUACUAAGCCAUGGCAGUUAAAAUCAUGUCAGACUACAUUGAUUCUACAGUAUAGAUGCACCCAUGUUUUUCAAAAAUCACGAUGUUCUCUUUAAUGUUGAAGGACUCAAGUGAGCACAUAUAACAUUAUGAACUUUUACAUUCUUAAAACUAUUAACUUUACAGUAUAUAGGAACCAUUAUGCAAUUCAAUAUCAAGUUGGU
rnacentral:lncRNA from 1 species